GCUGGGGUCGUCUUCCAUGCGGUAGAAGCUUUGUUCUUUUGCUGUUUGCAAUAAAUCUUGUUGCUGGUCACUGUUUGGGUCCGCACUGCCUUUGUGAGCUGUAACGCUCACCACGAAGGUCUGCGGGUUCACUGCUGAGGCCAGUGAGAGCCCGAGCCCACCAGGAGGAAUGAACAACUCCGGAUGGGAGAAACGAACAACUCCAGAUCCGCCGACUUAAGAGCUGCAACACUCACCGCCAAGCUAUGCAGCUUGACUCCUGAAGCCAGCGAGACCACGAACCCAUCAGAAGAAAAACUGUGAACACACCCGAGGAAUAAACUCCGGACACACCAUCUUUAAGAAUUGUAACACUCACCACGAGGGUCCACGGCUUCAUUCUUGAGCAGGAAAAUUAAAUCUUCUUUAAGGUCCUGCUCUUUUCCUCUUGACAGCAAGCUACCACUGUUUAGAGAGAGUCUCCUGUUGUCUUCGUCCUGAGGCUUCUUCCAUCUGCACGGAGGUUCCGAAGCGUUUAUGACAUAUCAAUCCCUCUACCAUCAGGCACACAUUUCACUGUUUUGGGAGAAGGCCUUUGGACUGAAGCUGGAAUCACUGCUGCUCCGUGGGUGCUUGUCAUGGCUCCUGUGGAUGGGAACCCGCUAGGCUUCUAGGCUCUGCAUGGGUUUGUCUUUUUGAAUAAAUUGAGCA
rnacentral:lncRNA from 10 species